rnacentral:sRNA from 1 species
AAGGAUGAGAAGCUUCGACUAAGGUUCGACUCGAGCGCCAGCGAGAGAGCGUUGCCGCAGGCAACGACCCGAAGGGCGAAGCGCGCAGCGCUAGUAAUCCUUCCCCCACCACCA